UGCCUUGGGGCAAUCAUCUAUGGAUCAUGGAUGGGCAAAUAUGAGAGUUGAGCCAGACCACUCGAUCUCAUCUCUAUCAUACACUGUGCUCCUCCUGAUCUGAGACCUGCUUGGGAUAUCCUCCUACGGCAAUAGAAAUUUCAUCCUAUGAUAUCGUCUCUCAUCAUCUCGAGUCUCGCAUCUCAUGCCUGAUCCACUUC
rnacentral:lncRNA from 1 species